rnacentral:miRNA from 1 species
UUGCAUCCUCUGCACUUUGGGCCU